AUGGAGGACUAAAAGUGCCAAAAUUAAAUAAAUAAAUACAUCAUUAAAUAAUUAAUUAAAUAUGUCAUUAAUUAAUUAAAAUUGGAAUUAAAUAUUUCAUUAAUUAAUUAAAAUUGGAAUUAAAUAUUUCAUUAAUUAAUUAAAAUUGGAAUUAAAUACUUAAAUGUGUUAUUAAAUAAAUAUAUCAUUAAAUAAUUAAAUAUGUCAUUAAUUAAUUAAAAUUGGCAUUAAAUAUGUCAUUAAUUAAUUAAAAUUGGCAUUAAAUAUGUCAUUAAUUAAUUAAAAUUGGAAUUAAAUACUUAAAUGUGUUAUUAAAUAUGUCAUUAAUUUAUUAAAAUAACAAUUAUUUUAAGUAAAAAACAUAUUUCAUUAUUUCACUAUUUAAUUAAUUAUUUCAUGGUCCUUGCGUUGCAGUGGAUCAUGAAUUUAUUUUAUCUGUCAACCUCGCCCGUCAAAGUCGGUGGGCGGAUCCUAACACCUGAUUGGUUACCCUGCACAUCAAGUCAAGGCAAAUCGAUUCCAGAUAAUGGAUUGACGCAGAGCUUGUGAACACAUUCCGAUACACUGGGUGGCGCUAUUCACCUCUACGUUGGUUUGGAUACUCAAUAAAACAAAACUUUAUUAGCAACCGCUAAAGACUCGGUCCUCUUUCCCAAAUGUUGAUACAUGCGGUGCAAGACAAAUUUUCCUUUAGCAUUUCCUUUAGCAUCUACUCGGCGCGCCACGGCUCGUCUCGGUUUAGUUGUUUUUCCAUUACAUUGAGUACCACCUCAUCGUGGGUUGAGUCGUCAUAGCACGGUGGCCCGAAAGUCCCUUACCGUCAUUUUUGUGCGACACAAACGCAAUGCAACAAUGUACAUGGAGGCGAUAGUACACCUGCUGCUCGGUCUGUGGCUUUCUGUCAGAUUCAGAGUAACAGAAGAGUCGGAGAAAGCUGAGAGCGGCGAGUCGAAACACUCAGGAGACACACAGGAGAGUUUGGGAGGCGAUACAGCAGUAUCAAGCUGAAGACAAGAGGAUAUGAACGAGACGACAUAUAAGGAUGCUCUCUGAUGAGACUUCAUGGGAUUUACCUGAAGCAGCAGCACAUGAGCCUGCAGUGGCACAAGGUGUAGAGGAGGAGGGCAGAGAUGUACAGGAUGCACUGAUGCACUACGUGUCAUGCAAAGUUAUUCUUCUUGUUAUACUUCUGUUUUUCUGUCCCCGGACCGCUAUUGUUUUCUUUAAUGCAAUUCUGACAAUAAACUUUUGUAGAUGUG